GAGUUUGAUCCUGGCUCAGAACGAACGCUGGCGGCGUGCCUAACACAUGCAAGUCGAACGUGAUCCAGAGCUUGCUCUGGUGAAAGUGGCGCACGGGUGAGUAACGCGUGGAUAACCUACCCUGGUAUCCGGGAUAACAUUCCGAAAGGGGUGCUAAUACCGGAUAAGCCCACGGGCUCUUUGGAGCUUGCGGGAAAAGGUGGCCUCUAUUUAUAAGCUACUGUAUCAGGAUGGGUCCGCGUACCAUUAGCUAGUUGGCGGUGUAACGGACCACCAAGGCGACGAUGGUUAGCUGGUCUGAGAGGAUGAUCAGCCACACUGGAASUGAGACACGGUCCAGACUCCUACGGGAGGCAGCAGUGGGGAAUUUUGCGCAAUGGGGGAAACCCUGACGCAGCAACGCCGCGUGAGUGAUGAAGGCCUUUGGGUCGUAAAGCUCUGUCAGAGGGGAAGAAAUGAUAUAGUGCUAAUACCACUUUAUCUUGACGGUACCCUCAAAGGAAGCACCGGCUAACUCCGUGCCAGCAGCCGCGGUAAUAC
rnacentral:rRNA from 1 species